ACAACAUUUGGACCGUCGAUCUACCGAGCAGUAUCACUCGUUCGGAGGAGGAUCUUCCUUUCGUCGC
rnacentral:pre_miRNA from 1 species